CUUCUUCGAUCUGCUGUGGACAGAUAAAGUGGAUAUGCGCAUCUAUACCGCCAGCCGUUAAAAUAGAGCCUUCACCAGCGAUGACUUCUGUUCCUGGGCCUAUAUUGAUAGUGACAUUGUCUUGGAUGUCUGGGUUACCUGCUUUUCCGACUUUAUACACACGGCCAUCUUUGAUGCCAACAUCAGCUUUGACGAUUCCCCAAUAAUCCAGAAUGAGCGCAUUGGUAAUGACAAGGUCGACACUCUGCUCACGAAUAACCUGACUUUGUCCCAUACCAUCUCGAAUG
rnacentral:sRNA from 1 species